rnacentral:rRNA from 1 species
UACGAAGGGGGCUAGUGUCGUUGUUCGGAAUUGACUGGCGUAAAGCGCACGUAGGCGGACAUUUAAGUCAGGGGUGAAAUCCCAGAGCUCAACUCUGGAACUGCCUUUGAUACUGGGUGUCUUGAGUAUGGAAGAGGUGAGUGGAAUUCCGAGUGUAGAGGUGAAAUUCGUAGAUAUUCGGAGGAACACCAGUGGCGAAGGCGGCUCACUGGUCCAUUACUGACGCUGAGGUGCGAAAGCGUGGGAGCAAACAGGG